rnacentral:rRNA from 1 species
GAUGAACGCUGGCGGCGUGCUUAACACAUGCAAGUCGAACGGAAAGGCCCAAGCUUGCUUGGGUACUCGAGUGGCGAACGGGGGAGUAACACGUGUGGGAUCUGCCCUGCACUUCGGGAGAAGCCUUGGAAAAUGCGCCUAAUACAGGAUAGGAUGAUGGUAUGCAUGCCAUUGUGGAAAGUUAUUUCGGUGUGGUAUGAGCUCGCGGCCGAUCAGCGUGUUGGUGGGAUAUUGGCCUACCAAGGCGUCGACGGGUAGCCGGCCUGAGAGAGUGUACGGACACACUAGACCUGUAAUGCGGCCCAGAGUACUAAGUGUGGCAGCAGUGGCGAAUAUUGGACAAUGCGCCGCCGCCUGAGGCAGGGAGGUCGUGUGGGCGUAGAACGCUUUCGGGUUGUAAGCUCCUUUCGCUAGGGACGAAGCCUUUUUGUGACGGUACCUGGAGAGGAAGCCCCGGCUAACUACGUG